rnacentral:rRNA from 1 species
UACAGAGGUCCCAAGCGUUGUUCGGAUUCACUGGGCGUAAAGGGUGCGUAGGCGGCCGGGUAAGUCUGCUGUGAAAUCCCGCAGCUCAACUGCGGAACUGCAUUGGAUACUAUCCGGCUAGAGGAAUGGAGGGGAGACUGGAAUUCUCGGUGUAGCAGUGAAAUGCGUAGAUAUCGAGAGGAACACCAGUGGCGAAGGCGGCACUCUGGGCCGGUACUGACGCUGAGGAGCGAAAGCGUGGGGAGCGAACAGG